UCAAUACAGGGCACAUCAGGCUUUCGUAAGGGACAAAUUGAUUCGGGCAAAAAGGGACAAAGUCCCCGACCGAUCUUUUGCUUCUACAUACAAGACUUCGAGCAACCCUUGGGCGUCCAAUGCCUGCUAGCUAAAUAAGAAAAGCAAGAGCGAACGUACAUGGGUGCUAAAUGGUCUACGUCGCACAAAACCUUUUAGCACGAGAUAGAGUAUGGAUCGUGGGACUAGAGCAUUCCGUCAAAAUAGGUAUGCUGCACAGGGGGCCAAGGCAGUCCAAGGUAAAAGAUUUAGCACUCAAACAGAAUUGAACAGGUAUGAACUAGCGAUUAUCGCUGCCAGGGCAGGGAACCAACCAACCGGAACAUACCAAUCACCACUCAUGCUCUACACGUACAACAUGCCUCCAUCACCCGCUAGGUAAAAGCACCUCAAAGACCCUAAAGCCUACAGAUGACUUGACCAUACAAUGAAGGAGAAAUGC
rnacentral:misc_RNA from 1 species